rnacentral:rRNA from 1 species
AGCAGCCGCGGUAAUUCCAGCUCCAAUAGCGUAUAUUAAAGUUGUUGCAGUUAAAAAGCUCGUAGUUGAAUUUCGGGAUUGACCCAUCGGUCGUGCCUUAAGGGGUAUGAACUGGUGUAGUCAAUUUCUCACCUUCUGGAGAACCGCGAUGUCCUUAAUUGGGUGCCGCGAGGAACCAGGACCUUUACUUUGAAAAAAUUAGAGUGUUUAAAGCAGGCAUUUUUGCUUGAAUACAUUAGCAUGGAAUAAUAAAAUAGGACGGCAUGAUUCUAUUUUGUUGGUUUCUAGGAUCACCGUAAUGAUUAAUAGGGAUAGUUGGGGGCAUUAGUAUUCAAUUGUCAGAGGUGAAAUUCUUGGAUUUAUUGAAGACUAACUACUGCGGAAGCAUUUGCCAAGGAUGUUUUCAUUAAUCAAGAACGAAAGUUAGGGGAUCGAAGACGAUCAGAUACCGUCGUAGUCUUAACCAUAAACUAUGCCGACUAGGAAUCAGACGAUGUUAAUUUUUUAAUGACUCGUUUGGCACCUUACG